rnacentral:rRNA from 1 species
UUAUAAGAUACGUUUGUCGCAUGGCAUUUGUAUUAAACGCUCCGGCGCCAUAGGAUGGACCCGCGUCCCAUUAGCUAGUUGGUGAGAUAACAGCUCACCAAGGCCACGAUGGGUAACCGGUCUGAGAGGGCGAACGGUCACACUGGAACUGAGACACGGUCCAGACUCCUACGGGAGGCAGCAGUGGGGAAUAUUGCGCAAUGGGGGCAACCCUGACGCAGCAAUACCGCGUGAGUGAAGAAGGUUUUCGGAUCGUAAAGCUCUGUUAUUGGGGAAGAAAAAAAGACGGUACCCAAGAAGAAAGUUCCGGCUAACUACGUGCCAGCAGCCGCGGUAAUACGUAGGGAACAAGCGUUGUCCGGAUUUACUGGGCGUAAAGGGCACGCAGGCGGUUUUUUAAGUCAGAUGUGAAAGGCCACAGCUCAACUGUGGACAUGCAUUUGAAACUGAAAGACUUGAGUAUUGGAGAGGCAAGUGGAAUUCCUAGUGUAGCGGUGAAAUGCGUAGAUAUUAGGAGGAACACCGGUGGCGAAGGCGGCUUGCUGGACAAAUACUGACG